rnacentral:rRNA from 1 species
UAGCGGCGGACGGGUGAGUAACGCGUGAACAAGCUGUCCUUCACAGGGGGAUAACACUUGGAAACAGGUGCUAAUACCGCAUAAGACCACAGGGGUGCAUGCUCCAGGGGUCAAAGGAGCAAUCCGGUGAAGGGUGCGUUCGCGUCCCAUUAGAUAGUUGGCGGGGCAACGGCCCACCAAGUCGACGAUGGGUAGCCGACCUGAGAGGGUGAUCGGCCACACUGGGACUGAGACACGGCCCAGACUCCUACGGGAGGCAGCAGUGGGGAAUAUUGGGCAAUGGGCGAAAGCCUUACCCAGCAACGCCGCGUGAGGGAAGAAGGUUUUCGGAUUGUAAACCUCUGUCCUGGGGGACGAAGGAAGUGACGGUACCCCGGGAGGAAGCCCCGGCUAACUACGUGCCAGCAGCCGCGGUAAUACGUAGGGGGCGAGCGUUGUCCGGAAUUAUUGGGCGUAAAGGGCGCGUAGACGGCUGAGUAAGUUACUGGUGAAAGCCCAGCUUUUAAGGCUGGAAUUGCCGGUAAUACUGUUCAGCUUGAGUGCAGGAGAGGGAAGCGGAAUUCCUAGUGUAGCGGUGAAAUGCGUAGAUAUUAGGAGGAACACCAGUGGCGAAGGCGGCUUUCUGGACUGUAACUGACGUUGAGGCGCGAAAGCGUGGGGAGCAAACAGGAUUAGAU